rnacentral:snoRNA from 1 species
ACGACCUUACUUGAACAAGAUCUGUUCUACAGUCUCAUCUACUGUAUCCUUGAUUUUGAAGGAGACAGUCAACAUUGUU